rnacentral:misc_RNA from 1 species
GAUGAAGAACGCAGCGAAAUGCGAUAAGUAAUGUGAAUUGCAGAAUUCAGUGAAUCAUCGAAUCUUUGAACGCACAUUGCGCCCGCCAGUAUUCUGGCGGGCAUGCCUGUUCGAGCGUCAUUUCAACCCUCAAGCCCAGCUUGGUGUUGGGGAUCGACACAGGCGCCCUCGGGCGCCCGCCGUCCCCUAAAUCUAGUGGCGGUCCCGCUGCAGCUUCCUCUGCGUAGUAGUUUUCUCCUCGCAAGGGCAGCUCGGUGGCGACCUCGCCGUAAAACCCCCAACUUCUGAAAGGUUGACCUCGAAUCAGGUAGGAAUACCCGCUGAACUUAAGCAUAUCAAUAAGCGGAGGA